rnacentral:sRNA from 25 species
GUCAACGACCCCCGGCUGAAGUCCGGGGGCUUGCGGGGAAACCCGUAAGCCCGGGUUGACCAGACUCGGCCUCCGCAAGGAGGCUCCGUUAGGGACGAAUACAUAGGCACUCCGGGAUGCGCGAGCCAGUCCCGGACCCUGCG